rnacentral:tRNA from 1 species
GAGGGUGUAGCCUAGUGGCAGAGUGCCUGCCUAGCAUGCACAAGGUCCUGGGUUCAAUCCUCAGCACCUCCA